AAAGUUAAAACAUAAAUUAUAUAAUUAAAUAUUAAUUAAAUAUUUUUAAUUAUAUAAUUAAAAAUAUAAUAUUAAGUUAUUUUAAGAUUUAUUUUAGUAUAAUGAAUAUAGUGUACAAAGAAUUUUUCAAAAAUUAUGAAAAUGUUUAAGCCCGCAUCGCGGGCAAAACACAUAGUUGUUAAUAUAUUAAAUGUUUUUUAUAUAAUUAUUAGGAAAUGUCUUUAAAAAUAUCUAACAUUCUCUUACUAUAAAAAAUGGAAAUCUAAUAAUGCAUGGUGGUAAUCAAUGAUUAAUAAUAGGUUUUGUGUAUCUAUCUAUCUAUCUAUCUAUAAUCUUCUAUAAUAAUAAAGGAGACUUUUCUCCCUUCUCAGGCCUCCAUGUCAUCAUUCACAUAAGGGCGUUUUAUGCCAUGUGGCUUACCCAAAUACAAGCCAAUCCUGCGUUUUAUGCCGAAAUUUUCAGAAACUAGAUCGACUUUCAUCUCCUUGUAAUGUAACUGAGAUGCUUAACUCAACCGAGCUUUUGCGUGAUUAUUCAACCGACCUCUUCUUCGCAUCCCACACAGUACGUGAACUUAACUGACUAUUUUUUCAUCGUCAAACCUUAGGUGUUUCGUUUCUCCUCCUCCUAGAUUCGUCUGAGAAACAAACAUACCCAGUUAUGUCAUUCAAUUCACCACGCCCAGUACUUAAACUUCAAUUCCUAGCAGAUUAAGUGAAUUAGUAUAUAUACAGUGGUGAUGAAGAAGGCGUCUGCGGCUCGCUUGCAAUCCCGGUAGAUUAAAAAUCCCCUCCAUUACAGAAAGAAGGAUGAUGAAUUCUAGAGCUGCAGAAUCACUGUUCUUUUUACGCUCAGAGACGGUGACACCAAUGGCCGCCACAAUCAGGAACCUCUAGCAAGAGGUUAAGAGCUCCCAUGGUAGCUUUUCCUCUAGCCUCAAACCGGCGCAAAUGGACCGCGCCGAUUGUAUCUUAAGUGGUUCUUUGAUAUGCAUAAACCAAAAGCAUUGGUACUGACCUCACAAGAGAAGACAUGAAGAACUGUUACCAUCAUCUCCAGAGGAUCCAAGACUCUGUUACCAUCAUCUCUAACCGUCUCAUAAUGCCUUCAAAACUAGAGUAAGCUCCAGGGAAGCCACCAAUGUGCUAAAAUGCUUCUUAAAAUAGUGAGGUACACUCUUGGAAACUUGCAAGCGUGUCUAGAUAUUAAAGUCCAUUGUUAUGUGAAUGAGGACACUGAUUUCUUUUUUCUUUUUCUAAUGGUCCAGGAACAUCAUUGAGCAACUAAAUGAAGGGAAAUACAAAGGGCUGCGUAAGGUAUGUGGAAUCAAUAGGUAUCUAAUGUAAUGUACUAACUUAUUUGAGUGAAUAUUUCAACCUUCUGCUAUGUUCGACUACAUGACUGCCAUUUCAGGGACCCUCCAAUUAAGCGCAAGAUACUCAACUUCGCAGGUUUUUUUCUUCUUCAUCGUCUGAUCACUUAGUGUGUAUGAUAUAUGUGCGUUAAACCGACUCUGGUGGGAUUGUUUGCAGCUGUGGUUGAGAUCCUUUCCGUGGUUAUCUUUGUGGAAGAAGAGAUGGUAUUGGAAGGAACAUGAGCAUUAGAACGUAAUCACCCAGGCCUCUGGUGGAUUGGCAAGCCUAUGACUGAAUCACACACCACAGAUUCUGUUUUAUAACUUUUUACAAACAAAAAUAAAAGUAAGAUUUGGGACUGAUUAUAUAUGAAGCGUGGCUCUGUAACCCUGUAUGUGGAAGCAUAACAUUUCCUCUAAUUGGAGUGUGGAAAAGGGGAGAGAUGAAAGCUUCACCGUUGAUUCUCAUCCUUUACAUGUGAAUCAUGCAAUAAGGACAACGCAGUUGGUGUUCUCAGGUAUACUCCGUCAACUAAAUUUUUAGCCUUCUUUAACUAACAUUUUAAUUUUUCGUUACAAUCUCACCACUACUAAGCAAUGUAAACGAUGUAUCUUAUGCAGGUACCGUGUACAGUUCUUAUAACUUAUGCAUGUACCGUGUACAGUUCUAUGUGUCUGAUAGGGACAGUACAGUUGGGUUUGUCGCAUUUGAUGGAGAAAUGACUAAAUAACCAACGCACGUUCAGCAGAAGUCGCUCAACUUAUGGUAAACCAGCAAGAACCUUAUACAAUUGUUGGAUUAAGUUUUUUUUUAAACACCACUACAGAAAACCUCACCUGAAUUUUCUAAAAGGUCCAUGUUUGGAGGAUCCCGAUCAAAGACCCCUACCACAAUGCUUAGAGGACUGGUUUGGAAGAAGAUAUGCGCGAGUAGUGGAAGCCAUGAUCUGCUUCAUCUUGGUGGAGUCAAAGCUGACAGUGCAGAACUUCAGGAGGACAUGCGCACCGUCAAGAAGGCCCGCAAUGGUAGCUUCACAUCAUAGGGAUUGUCCAAGCCCAACGAUUUAGCCAGAAUAGUAUCAAAAACAUUAAAACACUAGCUUAAUACAUUUUAUCAUCAACGAAAAGGAUAAAAAACAUGUCAGUCGGAUGACUACAUUAUGAAGUAACUCAUAUGUAAGCAGUAAUUAGUUCACUAAAAACAAAGGAAAAUGUUUCUUCAUAUUGAAAGUGGCCAGGCAUCAUUCGUUUCUCUGAUAAAGUAAUGGUAUUUUUGAUACUUUAAAUUAAAUACUGUAAAUUUUAGUAAUUGUUGUUUUUAGUUGUCUCUCUUUUUACACAUUAUACUUAAAGUUUUGUUUUUAUUUGGACUUAUUCUUGGGAACCUUUUAUUUGUACUAGCAUUCUUCAUAAAUAAUACUACAAUCUAUACUAAUAUCAAAAUAUUUUGCGAACCAAUACAUGUUGGUUUUACAAUGGAAAUAAUAAUUCAAAACCAUAAAGAAUUAGUCACGAGAAAAACAACAUUAUAUAAAAAGUAUACAUUAAACUAGGGUUUAGCAAAAUAUUCAAAUCCGAAAAACCAAAUCAAAUCCUACUUUAAAGCAUACCAAACUCGAACAAAAGAUGAUAAAAUAUUCAAUGAUUUAAAAAAUUUAAUCCGAAAAACUGGAACUGAACCAUACAUGAACGAAAAUAUUGGAUACCCAAAAAAAACGAACUAUAGUUAUAUAUUUGAAUAUACUAAUUAAUUUAAUAUAUAAUAUCUAAAAUAUCUAAAAUAUAUUCUAAAUUGUUUAAAAUACCUGAAAAUAUCUAAAAAUAUCUAAAAAUAUCCAAAAUAAAUA